rnacentral:rRNA from 1 species
UCCCGGCGCCACAAGUGGGGACCAGGGUUAUUGGGCCUAAAGCGUUCGUAGCAGGCCGGAUAAAUCUCUUGUGAAAUCGUUGGGCUUAACCUAACGGCGUGCAGGAGAGACUGUUCGGCUAGAGACCGGGAGGGGUAGAGAGUAUUCCUUGGGGAGCGGUAAAAUGCUAUAAUCCUUGGAAGACUACCUGUGGCGAAGGCGCUCUACCAGAACGGGUCUGACUGUGAGGGACGAAAGCUAGGGGAGCAAUCCGG